rnacentral:lncRNA from 1 species
CGUUAGUCUGAAUCCUCUUCUGAUAUAUUGCAAGUAUUUAAGUAACAUACAUUAUGCAGCCAUACAAGGAAGACUAAAAGAAGAAAAUCCAGGAUACUAUGUGAAGAAUGAAGUUUUGAUUCAGAACAGCCGAUUCAAACCAGGUUCACUGGGGCUGUGGCUCGUUACCUGAAAAGCUCUCAAGAAUAACAAAUAUUCUUGUCACAUGGCGGAACAAUUGAGUCACAGUUUCUGGAGGUAGAACCCCAAGUAUCAGAUACCUUUUUUCAAAGUUUAGUUUUGUAGAUAUGCGGUUAUGAGCUACCUGGCACAGGUUCUGAGACCCAAGUUGAUUCAUCUGCAAGAGUAGCAAGCACUCUGAAAUACUGAACCCUCUCUGCAACCCUUGGAUAUUUUUAAGCUACACCCUCCCCACUUAUUGUCUAAUAAACAUUGGUCCUA